UACGUAGGGUGCGAGCGUUGUCCGGAAUUAUUGGGCGUAAAGAGCUCGUAGGCGGUGUGUCACGUCGUUCGUGAAAACCUGCAGCUUAACUGUGGGCGUGCGGUCGAUACGGGCAUCACUGGAGUUCGGCAGGGGAGACUGGAAUUCCUGGUGUAGCGGUGGAAUGCGUAGAGAUCGGGAAGAACAUCAGUGGCGAAGGCGGCCUGCUGGGCUGUUGCUGACGCUGAGGCGCGACAGCGUGGGGAGCAAACAGG
rnacentral:rRNA from 1 species